AUUUUGCAAUACGAUUUCCAAUUUCCAGACUAAAAAGGGCAUCAUAAUGUAAAUAUGCUCUGUAAACUGCUGUACCAAACAAAAACCUGUUAAAACUUUACUACGUGACAAAAACAGUAAUUAACUGAAGGGCUUAAUCAGCAUUGAGCAUCAAAAGAAUGAAGAGGCUAAUAUAUCUUGUUUACUUUAUGGUGGGUUUACCCGAAUUUCUUUCACAAGAUACUGAAGCCUGUUAUAAACAAAUUUUUGAUGAUCUGGACUUUCCUGGGAAUGACUUCCAUCAGUCUGUAGUUGAGGAUGAACACAGUUGCCAGCAUAAAUGUACAGAGGAGCCUCGCUGUCGGUUUUUCACCUUUGUAAAAAAGGAAUUUCACAAUGAAGCACAGCGCUACAUUUGUUACCUCAAAAACAAUGAAAAAGGAACUCCAUCAAGAAUAACAUUUCUUUGGGGUGUUAUGUCAGGAUUUUCUUUAAGGAAAUGUGGUUUGAAUGACACAGGAUGUGUGCAUGAGCUGGUUGUAAACACAGAUUUUCCUGGAAAUGAUAUUGAGUCAGUUCUUGCCCCAGAUGUCAACUACUGUCAAAAAUUGUGUACCGAGCAUAAAAAUUGUCAGUUUUUCACCUAUUUGACAAGUGAUUGGAACACUGACCAACAAAGAUUUUAUUGUUAUAUUAAAAAGAACAAGAGAGGGGAACCAACCAUUAAAACAGAGUUACAGAAUGUUGUCUCGGGCUAUUCCCUGAAACAGUGUGAGACAUAUAACUCUUGUUUUAAGGACUUGUUUGUGGAUCUGGACUUCCCAGGAGAUGACUUCCGUCAGGCUGUAGUGGAGGAUGAACACAGCUGCCAACGAGAAUGUACAGAGGAGCCUGACUGCCAGUUUUUUACCUUUGCAAAUGGGUUAUAUCGCAACACUCAGCAGCGUUACAUUUGCUACCUCAAAAAGAGUGAACGAGGAACACCAUCAAAGAUAACAACUCUUGAGAAUGUUGUAUCUGGAUUUCCUUUAAGAGAAUGUGCAUCCAAUAAGUCAGUUUCAGAAUGUAGAAGUGAAAUUUUUGAAGAUAUAGAUUUCCCUGGAAAUGAUAUCACUUGGGUCCUUGCACCUGAUGUAAGCUUCUGUCAAAAAGUAUGCACUUAUCAUCCUACAUGUUUAUUCUUCACAUUUGUGAAGAGAGAAUGGAGCACUGACCAUAGAAGAUUUUACUGUUAUUUAAAGCAAACUGCAUCUGGAAUGCCAUCAAGGUUAACAAUGUUACAAAACGUUGUUAGUGGGUUUUCCCUCAAAUGGUGCAAGACCCUGAUAAGUCCAUGUGUCUCCGAUGUCUACGAGGGUUUAGAUUUCCCAGGGGAAGACUUUCAUAACUCUAAUACAAGAAACUAUCAGGAUUGUCAAAAAGAGUGCACAAAUAAUAAACAGUGCCAGUUCUUCACAUACGUAAAUCAAAGUUAUCACAGAGCUCUUCAACGGCAGGUAUGCUACUUGAAACAGAGUAUAAAAGGAACUCCAAGCAAAAUUAAUCUUCUCAACAAUGUUGUAUCUGGAUUUUCCUUAAAGGGAUGCAGAUUAUCAGAUCAAGUUUGCGAAAAAACACUUUUGCAAAAUGUUGAUUUCCCUGGAAAUGACAUUAAGAAUGUGCUGGCUCCCAGUGCUGAAACAUGCCAACUAAUUUGCACAUACUACCCCAAUUGUUUGUUUUUCACAUACUUAAGAAACACAUGGACCAAGGAUUCCAGGAAAAAUUGGUGCUACUUGAAGAAAACCAACACAGGACUUCCUACAUUGACCACGCCAUUGACACAUGUGGUGACUGGUUAUUCACUGCGAAGUUGCCGAGACUUUCCUGAUUGUGAAUCCAAUGUUUUUUAUAACAGAUCAUUUGAAGGGAAAGUACUGCAAGUUAAACAAGUUGAGAGUUAUGGGGACUGUCAGGAAAGUUGCACAGACCACAGACAGUGCCAAUUUUUUACCUUUGAAGAGACCUACGACCAGGAAAUGUACAGUUGCUAUUUACAAAAGUCUGAUAAUGGCUUACCAUCCAAAAUAGAUGAAUCAAUUGGAGCGAUCUCUGGCUUUUCUUUGAGGCUGUGCACAUUGAACCAAACUUGUGGUAAAGUCAAUCAACCAAAAUCCCAUGUUUCUGGUGGAAAUGUUUCUCUUCCUGGUGAGUGGCCAUGGCAAAUUUCUAUCCACAUUGACCAAAAGGAUGAAUUCAGACAUUUCUGUGGGGGAUCCAUUAUAUCUGAUCAUUGGAUUAUCACAGCUGCUCACUGCUUUGAAAGGACUGAGGAUCUCAGAAAGUGGAGAAUAUAUGCUGGUAUAACAAAGUUAUCUGAUAUUACAAACAAAAUCACUUUCCACAAAAUUGAAAAGAUAAUUAUCCAUGAAAAUUACAACAGUGAGACGAUGGAUUGUGACAUUGCUCUCCUCAAACUCAAGCAAGCUAUUGUCUUUAAUGAUUAUCAAAUGCCAAUAUGCCUUCCAACUUCAGAAGAACAAGUGCCUUUGGGAAGCCAGUGCUGGAUAACAGGUUGGGGAAAAGCAGAGACAGGUCAAAUAUCUCAAAUUCUUCUGAAAGCGAAUGUUCCUGUAAUAGAUGAUGAGAGAUGCCGAUCUGUUUAUUUAGGAAGUAUUAUAACAGAAAACAUGAUGUGUGCUGGCAAAGAUGAUGGCAAAGUUGACAGAUGUAAGGGAGAUUCAGGAAGUCCUUUAGCAUGCGAACAUAAUGGUAAAUGGUAUUUGGUUGGAAUUACAAGCUGGGGGCAUGGAUGUACUCAGAAAGAAAAACCUGGGAUAUAUACUCGUUUAUCAAAAUUCCAAGCCUGGGUGCACAAAAAAGUUUCAGAUGCAUCAUGGAUAGAAAGCUGAAGAUCCCAGUUGGAAAUCACCUGGAAUUCUAGCUUUUUGACUUCUAACAUUCAUAACCGGAAAUCAUCCAAGAACUCACCUUCUGAACCCAUGGACCAUCACUAUUAUCUUCUGACCUAAUCCAGCCGACAGGAAAUUGAUAGGAUUGGAUUGAUUGCUGACCUUCCAACCUGCCCUAUUUUAAUUGCCAAGUAAAGUUGGGUGAGAUGGAAAAUGGACAGCUGAUCCAAACCCACCAGUUUCCAUAAAGGUCAGCAACAAAGUGAACUCCACCGGAUUACUUCCAACUUCCAUACAUGGAUUUCAGUGGCAAACACAGUUAUUGUUUCUCAUCCAUCGAUAGAGAAAACAAGCAGGCUGGUGUCUCUCUCCCUUCUCUCUCUCUCUCUCUCCUUCUUCUUCUGACUUCUUCAACAACGUCAUUACGUCCUUUAUCUUCUA